rnacentral:rRNA from 1 species
GACGAACGCUGGCGGCGUGCUUAACACAUGCAAGUCGAACGGUAAGGCCCCUCGGGGUACACGAGUGGCGAACGGGUGAGUAACACGUGGGUGAUCUGCCCUGCACUUCGGGAUAAACCUGGGAAACUGGGUCUAAUACCGGAUAGGACCCUGGGAUGCAUGUCCUGGGGUGGAAAGCUUUUGCGGUGUGGGAUGGGCCCGCGGCCUAUCAGCUUGUUGGUGGGGUGAUGGCCUACCAAGGCGACGACGGGUAGCCGGCCUGAGAGGGUGACCGGCCACACUGGGACUGAGAUACGGCCCAGACUCCUACGGGAGGCAGCAGUGAGGAAUAUUGCACAAUGGGCGCAAGCCUGAUGCAGCGACGCCGCGUGAGGGAUGACGGCCUUCGGGUUGUAAACCUCUUUCAGCACCGACGAAGCGCAAGUGACGGUAGGUGCAGAAGAAGGACCGGCCAACUACGUGCCAGCAGCCGCCGUAA